UCAAAGGCCAAUGUGGAACUGAGCAGCCUAGGAAGUAGGAAAAGUAGGAGAUCAGAGACUCAAGAAUUGAAAGGAGCUCCAGAGACGUAAAAUUCAAACUUCUCAUCUCAGAGGAGCCCAGGCUAGCAAGCUUUGCCUGUUCUGGACAUUUCACAUAAACAGAAUCACACAGUGUGGGCUCUUGUGACUGCCUUCUCUCAGGGAAGGAACACCUUAGAAAAACAAAGGGAGACAGAUGGGGUGCAGAGAGAAUAUGAAUGGAGGAAAAAGGAAAAGGAAAAAAGAGAAAUAGAGAAAGUAGGAGGGAAAGAGCCACGUUGCUGGACCACCUCAGAAUUGCUUCAAUGGGACUUUGCUUCUGAAAGAUUUGUAUCCUCUGGGGAUGUCUUGGUUUUGCAUUGGUAGAUGCUGAAAUAUGGUUUUAAGUUUGGCUUCA